rnacentral:lncRNA from 1 species
GUAUCCCACUCCUUCAACAUAUCCACCGGUAUCCACAUCCCCUAGUGGCUAUGCCCCACCUCUGACUAGUGCUUCUGCUUAUCCCCCACAGUAUCCACCUGCUGCUGCUUAUCCCCCACAAUAUCCACCUGCACCCGCUGCUGCUGCUUAUCCCCCACAAUAUCCACCUGCACCUGGUGCUGCUGCUGCUGCUUAUCCAUAUCCUGCCUCACCAUACCCACAAUCAACAUAUCCUCCUCCACCUUAUCCUCCUCCUCAUGGUGGUGC